UAACACAUGCAAGUCGGACGGGCAUUUGGUGGAAGCUUGUGAAGCCGGAUGUUAGUGGCGGACGGGUGAGUGACGCGUGAGGACCUAUCUGGAAGAGGGGGACAACAGUUGGAAACGACUGCUAAGACCCCAUAAGCCGAGAGUGAAAGGGAGCGAUCCGNUUCCGGAGGACUCGCGGGCUAUCAGCUGGUUGGUGGGGUAACGGCCUACCAAGGCGAAGCGGCAAGCCGGCCUGAGAGGGCGACCGGCCACACUGGAACUGAGAUACGGUCCAGACUCCUACGGGAGGCAGCAGUGGGGAAUAUUGGGCAAUGGGGGCAACCCUGACCCAGCGACGCCGCGUGGAGGAAGAAGUCCCUCGGGAUGUAAACUCCUGUUGUGUGGGAAGAAGCGAGUGACGGUACCACACGAGGAAGCCCCGGCAAACUACGUGCCAGCAGCCGCGGUAAUACGUAGGGGGCGGGCGUUGUCCGGAAUCAUUGGGCGUAAAGAGCACGUAGGCGGCCUGUCAGGUCGGAUGUGAAAACCCGCGGCUCAACUGCGGGAUUGCAUUCGAAACCGGCAGCUAGAGUCCAGUAGAGGAAAGUGGAAUUCCCAGUGUAGCGGUGAAAUGCGCAGAUAUUGGGAAGAACACCGGCGGCGAAGGCACUUGCUGGGCAGCAACUGACGCUGGGGCGCAAAAGCCAGGGGAGCAAACGGGAUUAGAUACCCCGGUAGUCCUGGCCGUAAACGAUGAAUGCUAGGUGUGGGUGUAGAGAUACAUUCGUGCCGGAGUUAACGCGAUAA
rnacentral:rRNA from 1 species